GACGGGACAACGACCAGGGACAGUGAGCAGGAAUACCAGUCAGCUGGUGGCUGCCGCUGCUACAACCGACCCAGCCACAGCUGAAAUACCCUCAACCUGGGCAGUGACUACUGUGCUCUACACAGUCAGCGGCUGAAGGGCAGUCACGGGCCAGCCAUUGAAAAUGCUCACGGUACACAUCCCUGCUGACCUUCCCCAAGACCAUGGAGAGGCAGCUGAGUCCUUAGUUUGAGGAAGACAGGAUAACAGCCUGUUCCCGCUGGGAGAGCUGCUAGAGGCCAGUGAGAUGGAGAGAGAGGCUUGCAGAGGUCACUGAUCAAUGGGUGAGUCUCAAAUGUCAUAUGGAUAAGUCUGGGCCAGGACACAGGUUUGUUUCUUUCCUUCCUUUUUUGGAGGGGAGAGGGCUUAAGGCAGGGUCUAAGUUGCCCACUGACCUCAAACACACUCUAUAGCCCAGUGCGUGAAGUUAGGAUCUUCCUGCCUCAGAGUCUGCACCAGAGAGAAUGACAGGCAUGUGUGCCACCACACCUGGCUCAGAUAACAUCUCUCUGCGUGUGUUGACAUGUGCACACACCACGUGACGGUGUGUAUGUGCAUCUGUGCGUGUGUCUGUGGAGGUCAAACUCAGA
ensembl:processed_transcript